rnacentral:rRNA from 1 species
AUUGAACGCUGGCGGCAUGCCUAACACAUGCAAGUCGAGCGGGAACUUCGGUUCUAGCGGCGGACGGGUGAGUAAUGCGUAGGAAGCUACCCGAUAGAGGGGGAUACCAGUUGGAAACGACUGUUAAUACCGCAUAAUGUCUACGGACCAAAGUGUGGGACCUUCGGGCCACAUGCUAUCGGAUGCGCCUACGUGGGAUUAGCUAGUUGGUGAGGUAAUGGCUCACCAAUGCGACGAUCCCUAGCUGGUUUGAGAGGAUGAUCAGCCACGCUGGAACUGGGACACGGUCCAGACUCCUACGGGAGGCAGCAGUGGGGAAUAUUGGACAAUGGGCGCAAGCCUGAUCCAGCCAUGCCGCGUGUGUGAAGAAGGCCUUCGGGUUGUAAAGCACUUUCAGCGAGGAGGAAGGAGUUGUAGUUAAUAGCUGCAACUUUUGACGUUACUCGCAGAAGAAGCACCGGCUAACUCUGUGCCAGCAGCCGCCGUAAGAC